UGGGGAAUUUUGCGCAAUGGGGGAAACCCUGACGCAGCAACGCCGCGUGCGGGACGAAGGCCUUCGGGUUGUAAACCGCUUUCAGCAGGGAAUAUCGUGAAGGUACCUGCAGAAGAAGCUCCGGCUAACUACGUGCCAGCAGCCGCGGUAAUACGUAGGGAGCGAGCGUUAUCCGGAUUCAUUGGGCGUAAAGCGCGCGUAGGCGGCCCGUCAAGCGGGGUUUCAAAUCCAGGGGCUCAACCUCUGGCCGGACCCCGAACUGGCGGGCUCGAGUGCGGUAGAGGAAGGUGGAAUUCCCAGUGUAGCGGUGAAAUGCGCAGAUAUUGGGAAGAACACCGAUGGCGAAGGCAGCCUUCUGGGCCGCCACUGACGCUGAGGCGCGAAAGCUAGGGGAGCGAACA
rnacentral:rRNA from 1 species